rnacentral:rRNA from 1 species
AGUGAACGCUGGCGGCAGGCCUAACACAUGCAAGUCGAACGGCAGCACAGUAAGAGCUUGCUCUUACGGGUGGCGAGUGGCGGACGGGUGAGGAAUACAUCGGAAUCUACUUUUUCGUGGGGGAUAACGUAGGGAAACUUACGCUAAUACCGCAUACGACCUACGGGUGAAAGCAGGGGAUCUUCGGACCUUGCGCGAUUGAAUGAGCCGAGGUCGGAUUAGCGAGUUGGCGGGGUAAAGGGCCACCAGGGCGACGAUCCGUAGCUGGUCUGAGUGGAUGAUCAGCCACACUGGAACUGAGACACGGUCCAGACUCCUACGGGAGGCAGCAGUGGGGAAUAUUGGACAAUGGGCGCAAGCCUGAUCCAGCCAUAUCGCGUGGGUGCAGCAGGCCUUCGGGUUGUAAAGCCCUUUUGUUGGGAAAGAAAAGCAGCAGGAUAAUCCCGCGCGGUUCUGACGGUACCCUAAGAAUAAGCACCGGCUAACUUCGUG